UACGGGGGAUGCGAGCGUUGUCCGGAUUUACUGGGCGUAAAGAGCGCGUAGGCGGCUCGUUAAGUGUGAAGUGAAAUCUCCAGGGCUCAACCCGGAAACUGCUUCGCAUACUGGCGAGCUGGAGUGACGAAGAGGUUUGUGGAAUUCCUGGUGUAGCGGUGAAAUGCGUUGAUAUCAGGAGGAACACCGAUGGCGAAGGCAGCAAACUGGUCGUCAACUGACGCUGAGGCGCGAAAGCGUGGGUAGCAAACAGG
rnacentral:rRNA from 1 species